UCAAGAUGAUCAUACCUGGUUAAUCACCUGCUCUUUUUUCUCUAAAUUGAAGGUAUUCCGGUGGACUUGAACUACACACCAGCAAAUAAAAAUUCGGAUCUGGCGCUUCAAUGUCUUACAAGAUCACUUUGGAAUGCCGCCAAAAUUUUAGUUCCCACAAUCAAGAGAGUUCACGAGAUGAAGAUGAGACACGCGACAGCGGUCGAGUUGGCAAAA